rnacentral:rRNA from 1 species
GGAGCAAGCGUUAUCCGGAUUUAUUGGGUGUAAAGGGUGCGUAGACGGGACGACAAGUUGGUUGUGAAAUCCCUCGGCUUAACUGAGGAACUGCAACCAAAACUAUCAUUCUUGAGUGCUGGAGAGGAAAGUGGAAUUCCUAGUGUAGCGGUGAAAUGCGUAGAUAUUAGGAGGAACACCAGUGGCGAAGGCGACUUUCUGGACAGUAACUGACGUUGAGGCACGAAAGCGUGGGUAGCAAAC